UUUCAUUAGAGGAUCUAAAGCACUUAACAUUUGUUAAGAAAGAUUCACAGCAUCAUCCUCUCCCACCAGGAGUUCCAGCAUAAGAAAGAUCCUCCAGUUUUCAUGGUUAAGAGGUGAAAGACAACAAGUGAGUUAAGAGUGAAAGACAGUAAGUGAGCAAUGGAGUAGCAGGAGCUGGUGAUGAUGGCAGGGGACAAAUGAGAUCAUGUGGGGUCCCUGGCUCCAUUCCCAGCCAGCCCCCCAACCUUUAAACACUUUUGUUAAUAUAGGCAUAUUGAAUGCCUCGUAGUGGGGUGCAUACAUUCUUUUUGUUAUGCUUUGUUUUUGCCUUUUAAAAAAAUGUUCAGGGCAUCAUACUGCAACAUAAUCUUUGCUAAGGUGUGGGUAGGGUGGAAGGACAGCACAGUGGAUCAGUAAUGGCUGGAGCAUAGGAGAGAGAUAGGUAAACUGGGGCACAAAAGGGUUAGAACUCAAAUUUUCUACAAUGUCCCCUAAAUAUGGGUUUCUGGCCUGAUUUUCAUAGGGCCUGAUUUUCAAAGGUUCUGAGCACAACUUCAUUACAUUCACAUUCACUUUAUGGCUGUUUUAUGUCACCAGAGUGGGGUAAAGGCAUUUUAGUGUAAAUGAGAAUUUGGCCUGGAGAUUCUAAACUUAACACCAAAAUUGAGGCACCCACACUUAGUGAACACUUCUGAAUAUUUUGGCCUAAGUGAAAGAACCCAGGAGUCCAGGUACCCAAUCCUUUGUUCUAACCACCUGACUUACUGUUGGUCUUGUGCUGUGAGCAUAUAUCCAGCAAAAUGCAGCUCAAGAUUAAUCGUUUUAUUUAAAAAACAGAAUUUAAUUUGUUAUAAAAACAGAUCUUGUUUGUUGUUUUUGUUAAUACAGCGUAUACCCCCCCGCCCUAUUCGUUUUGGCCAGGCCGCUUCGCAACCCCGCAGCUGACCCGAAGCCAGGAAAGAGGCCCAAUAGACUGCACGACCUUAUUAGGGCAUAGUGCUUAUCACAGGAAACGUAUGAGGGACGUGUCCCUAGUGUUACCACACAAAAAAAGCCAUUUCUGCAGUUUCCGUAUUGUACUGUUCUUCCUAAUAAGGGGAAGACAGUGGGGCACUAAAAAACCAAUUCACUUCCAAAAAACUAUAUACUUAGUCGCCCCUGUAGAGCAAUUAGAGGUGUCCCGAAAACUAAUCUACGUCACGGCCAGUCCAGGUCUGAUCAACUUGGGCUUGACCCUCCCGCUCCCGAAUCCAGCCUGAGUGUGUGUCGUAUAGCCGGCUUGAACUCAUUAUGUAUAUGCUCUCCCAUCUGGCUGUUAUCUGCAUGGUUAAUUCUACAAUUCUCUGUUUGCAAGUUCAGAGGUGAUGUGGUGCCUGAAGGCCUCAUCAGGACUGGGAUCCCAUUGCAUUAUGGCUGUACAAACAAAUAUGAAGAAUUUACAGUUUAAAAUGACAAGUCAUCUAUGGAGUUGUGAUGUGAAGGAAACAUUCAAUUAUACACAACUUUUAUAUCUAUCUAUCUAUCUAUUGUUAUUAAUGUAAAUAAAGUAAGUGCCAAUUUAUCUCUGCAUGCCCCUAAGCCCAGCCAACUUUCUUUGGCUGAUUUCUGAUAGGAACCUUGUCAGAGUAGGGCCUCGAAAUUCCUACAAAUAUUCAAGCAAAUAAGUUAGCAGGCAGGGGUGAUGGAAAAAUUUGUAUAGUGGGGGUGCUGAGAGCCAUUGAACCAAACUGUAAACCUUGUAUGUAACGGAAACCACUUUCAAGCCGAGGGUGCGGCAGCAUUCCCAGUACCCCUAGUUCCAGCACUAUGUUAGCAGGAAUGUUCACUGGCUUACCUGCUGAGCA